rnacentral:tRNA from 1 species
AUUAUUACUUUGGCAGAUUAGUGUAUUUGAUUUAGAGUCAAAGAAUGUAGGGUUUACAGGUAAUA